rnacentral:tRNA from 1 species
GCCUCCGUAGUUCAAGGGUUAGAACGGAUCACUCAUAACGAUCAGACAAUGGUUCGACUCCAUUCGGAGGCA